UUACAUACCUGGACGGGGUCAAUGAGUGUUCAAGAAGGUUCAUGGCCUAGGUUAGUGACCUCCAUGGCACACUUGGGAGGGGUGCUUAGCCUAAGAUCUCCCCCCUCUCUGGGUGCAUGAGUGCAUCUACGUCAUAAUUUGUUGCUGCUGAGGUGUGUGCUUGCGCCGCCCCUUU